AUGGUAGAGGAGAGAUUUCCAAAACGACACUUCUGUUCUGAACUUCACGCAUUGUGCAAAUUCCCAAAUUUACCCUUUCUCACCGAUUCCUCAAUUUCCUUUCCAACAAUUCCUUCUAAGUUUCGUUGGUUCCAGAAUCCAGAUCUGAAAGAACGUGUUUCAUUGUUUGCGUUUGGGGUUAAACGCAACAACCUUGAUUUGGGUUUUUGA